UGGGGAAUAUUGCACAAUGGGCGAAAGCCUGAUGCAGCAACGCCGCGUGAGUGAUGAAGGCCUUCGGGUUGUAAAGCUCUGUCUUUUGGGACGAUAAUGACGGUACCAAAGGAGGAAGCCACGGCUAACUACGUGCCAGCAGCCGCGGUAAUACGUAGGUGGCAAGCGUUGUCCGGAUUUACUGGGCGUAAAGGAUGCGUAGGCGGAUUUUUAAGUGAGAUGUGAAAUACCCGGGCUUAACUUGGGUGCUGCAUUUCAAACUGGGAAUCUAGAGUGCGGGAGAGGAGAAUGGAAUUCCUAGUGUAGCGGUGAAAUGCGUAGAGAUUAGGAAGAACACCAGUGGCGAAAGGCGAUUCUCUGGACCGUAACUGACGCUGAGGCAUGAAAGCGUGGGUAGCAAACAGGAUUAGAAUACCCUGGUAGUCCACGCCCUAAACGAUGUCAACUAAGUUGUUGGGGAUUCAUUUCCUUAGUAACGUAGCUAACGCG
rnacentral:rRNA from 1 species